rnacentral:rRNA from 1 species
AUUGAACGCUGGCGGCAGGCCUAACACAUGCAAGUCGAACGAGUGGCGGACGGGUGAGUAAUGUCUGGGAAACUGCCCGAUGGAGGGGGAUAACUACUGGAAACGGUAGCUAAUACCGCAUACCAUCGGAUGUGCCCAGAUGGGAUUAGCUAGUAGGUGGGGUAACGGCUCACCUAGGCGACGAUCCCUAGCUGGUCUGAGAGGAUGACCAGCCACACUGGAAUAGGGACACGGUCCAGGUUCGUACGGGAGGCAGCGGUGGGGAGUAUUGCACAAUGGGGGCAAGCCGGAUGCAGCCAUGCCUCGUGAAUGAAGAAGGCCUUAGGGUUUAAAAGUACUUUCAGCGAGGAGGCGUUACUCGCAGAAGAAGCACCGGCUAACUCCGUGCCAGCAGCCGCGGUAAUAC